AGAGGGGGAUAACGUUUGGAAACGAACGCUAAUACCGCAUGAUAUUAUUGGGCAGCAUUGCCUGAUAAUCAAAGGAGCAAUCCGCUGAAAGAUGGGCUCGCGUCCGAUUAGGUAGCUGGCGGGGUAACGGCCCACCAAGCCGACGAUCGGUAGCCGGACUGAGAGGUUGAACGGCCACAUUGGGACUGAGACACGGCCCAGACUCCUACGGGAGGCAGCAGUGAGGGAUAUUGGUCAAUGGGGGAAACCCUGAACCAGCAACGCCGCGUGAGGGAAGACGGUUUUCGGAUUGUAAACCUCUGUCCUCUGUGAAGAUGAUGACGGUAGCAGAGGAGGAAGCUCCGGCUAACUACGUGCCAGCAGCCGCGGUAAUACAUAGGGAGCAAGCGUUGUCCGGAUUUACUGGGUGUAAAGGGUGCGUAGGCGGCUUUGCAAGUCAGAAGUGAAAUCUAUGGGCUUAACCCAUAAACUGCUUUUGAAACUGCAGGGCUUGAGUGAAGUAGAGGUAGGCGGAAUUCCCGGUGUAGCGGUGAAAUGCGUAGAGAUCGGGAGGAACACCAGUGGCGAAGGCGGCCUACUGGGCUUUAACUGACGCUGAGGCACGAAAGCGUGGGUAGCGAACAGGAUUAGAUACCCUGGUAGUCCGCGCUGUAAACGAUGAUUACUAGGUGUGGGUGGACUGACCCCAUCCGUGCCGGAGUUA
rnacentral:rRNA from 1 species